UAGAAGUGGUAGCAGCUGCUGGGAGCUAGAGAAGUCGGCGGAGGCGGAGCAAGACCCGCAGGGUGAGAGGAGGAGAGUAACGCGAGAUUUUGCAAAGUGGACUGAAAUUCAAAUCAGGAUGGCAUUCCUUUGGAAGAGAGGCUUCCAAUUUUCAUUUUGUACCUUUCCAAACGGACUGAACUUUCUCAUCUUCCCCGUGGGUUACUUAAUAUAUCAACAGCGGUUAUUAAGAUAUAUGCCCAGGAGUGGGAUUGCUGUAUCAUACAAAAAUGAACUCAAAAUAACUGAAAGACUUAAAUAUAAGACAUGAAACUCUAAAACUCCUAGAAGAGAACAUAGGCAAAAAAUGCUCUGACAUAAUCAUAACAAUGUUUUCUUAGAUCAGUCUCUCAAGACAAAAGAAAUAAAAGCAAAAAUAAAUGGGGCUUACUCGAACUUAUAAGCUUUUGCACAGCAAAGGAAACCGUGAACAAAAUGAAAAGACAACCUAUGGAAUGGGAGAAAAUAUUUGCAAACGAUGCAACCUACAAGGGCUUAAGAUCCAAAAUAUACAAACAGCUCAUACAGCUAAAUAUCAAAACAAACAACCAAUCAAAAUAUGGGCAGAAGACCUAAGUAGACAUUUCUCCAAAGACAUACAGCUGGCCUACAGGCACAUGAAAAGAUGCUCAACAUUCCUAAUUAUUAGAGAAAUGCAAAUCAAAACUACAAUGAGGUAUCACCUCACACUGGUCAGGAUGGCCAUCAUCAAAAAGCCUACAAACAGUAAAUGCUGGAGAGGGUGUGGAGAAAAGGGAACCUUCCUACACUGUUGGUGGGAAUGUAAACUGGUGCAGCCAUUAUGGAGAACAGUAUGGAGUUUCCUUAAAAAACUAAAAAUGGAAUUAGAGUUCUUAAUUGCAAUGAAUAGGACUGACGGGGGAUGACUUAAAUAGAAAUUUAUUUAUCAAGAGGAUUUUGGGUAAGUCUCAGAAUUAAUAGCAAGGAUGAAGGACCACACUUGGAAGAGAACAUGGGGAAACAGAAGGAAGCUGGGGACACAUUGCCAUCAUCAAAAUCACUCCAGAGAGCAGCUCGUUGUGGACCCCAAUGUCAUUACUACCGAAGCCUGGACCGACAGGUCACUUCACCCACUGACCCUGGACUUUAGGAUGCCUUCACCGCACAACUGCCAGAGCUGUCUCUGGAGACUGUGUUGUUUAAAAUUCUACCACCUCCCGAGGAGUUGUCCCCAUCUAUGCUUUUGUGUCAAUUUCUCUUGAUUCCCUGCAGUGCCAGUUUCUUUUUGUCCUCAGGUUGUGUUUCUACAUUUGUGUGUCUGGUUAGUUGAACCUAAAGCACAUGUCCAUGCUCUGUUUUCUACAAAGGCUGAGAAAUCCAGUACGAAAUGUUUACCUUUCAUUGUUAGUUAUGUCAAUUUCUCCGUGGAAAGCCUGGUAACAUGUACUGUCUCUCCUGUGUAUUUCUCUCAGGGACUUUGAAGCAUCGGUCCCACAUUUCCUAUCUCUUUUUAAUCACGACUCCCUGAGCCUUUUCUUUGCACCUUCUAUUACCUGCUUUACUGCCUAGUCCUUGAUUUUGAGGCAUUGAGGCUUCUCACAUGGAAAUAGUUCCUGAUUUCUCUCUUUUCUCUGAAACCUUAUGAAUUUUGA